rnacentral:lncRNA from 1 species
CACCUCCCCCGUCCCCACCGUCCCCACCGUGCCGUCGCCUCGCCCCGCAGGCUGGCGCGGCGCCGACUGCUCCGAGCCCUGCGCCGCCGGCACCUGGGGCCCCGGCUGCAACCGGAGCUGCGAGUGCGCCCACGGAGCCGCCUGCAGCCCCCGGAGCGGCGCGUGCAGCUGCGCCGCCGGCUGGCGCGGCCCCCGCUGCCGGCAGCCCUGCCUGGUGAGUGCGGGGGGGACGCACCGGCAUGCACCGGGAUGCACCGGGAUGCACCGGGACAGGGGGCUGCCCCAGCGCUGACAUCCCGGCCUUUUCCCCCCCCCCUUCCGCCGCCCAGAAUGGCACGUUCGGCUCCGGCUGCAGCCAGCAAUGCUCCUGCGCCCAUGCGGCCGGCUGCGACCCCGUCACCGGCACGUGCCACUGCCUGCCGGGAUGGACAGGGCCGCGGUGCGAGCGGAGCUGCGAGCCGGGUUUCUGGGGCCAGGGCUGCAGCCAGCCGUGCGCCUGCCGCAACGGAGCCGCCUGCUCGCCCCAGGACGGGUCCUGCACCUGCGCCCCGGGCUACCGCGGCCCCGCGUGCCAGCGCCCCUGCCAGCCGGGCCGCUACGGGAAGAAGUGCGCGCUGGCCUGCUCCUGCGGCAACCGCUCCUCCUGCCACCCCGCCGACGGCUCCUGCCUCUGCGCCCCGGGCUGGACCGGCGGCRACUGCUCCCGCCCCUGCGCCCCCGGCACCUUCGGGCUCCAGUGCGCCCAGCUCUGCSAGUGCCCCCCCAACGCCACGUGCCACCCGGAGAGCGGGACGUGCCAGUGCGCCCCGGGCAGGAUCGGGCCCCGCUGCGAGCCUGGUGAGC